GACGAACGCUGGCGGCGUGCUUAACACAUGCAAGUCGAACGGAAAGGCCCUGCUUUUGUGGGGUGCUCGCGUGGCGAACGGGUGUGUAACACGUGAGUAACCUGCCCUUUACUGUGGGAUAACUCCAGGAGACUCGGGCUCAUACCGGAUAGGAGCCCCUGCUCCACGGUGUGGGUUGGAAAGUUUCGGCGGUUGGGGCUGGUCUCGCGGGUUAUCAGCUUGUUGGUGGGGUAUUGUCUUACAAAGGCUUUGCCGGGUAGCCGGCCUGGGAGGGUGGCCGGGGACAUUGGGCCUGAGAGACGGCCCAGACGCGUACGGGAGGCAGUAGUGGGGAAUAUGGCAGAAUGGGGGGGAGCCUGAUGAGGCGACGCCGGGUGCGGGAUGACGGCUUGCGGGUGGAAAACCGCUUCCGCAUUAGACGAUGCCGGAGUGACGGUAAUGGGUAAAGAAGCACCGGCUAACUACGUG
rnacentral:rRNA from 1 species